AGAGUUUGAUCCUGGCUCAGGAUGAACGCUGGCGGCGCGCCUAACACAUGCAAGUCGAACGAAACACCUUGAUCUUGUUCCUCGGAUGAAGAUCCUGGCGACUGAGUGGCGGGAGGGGUGAGUAAGGCGUAGGUACCUUCUCUAAUGCAGGGGAGAUACCAGUUAGAAAUGACUGUUAAUACGGAAAUAAGACCACAGCACGGCUAUGGUGCGAGGGGAAAAAACUCUGUUGGUAUGAAGAUGGACCUGUGUUUGAUUAAGUAGUUGGUGGGGUAACGGCCUCCCAAGCGGACGAUCAGUAGCCGACAUGGGAGGGUGACCGGCCCACAUUGGGAGUGAGACACGGCCCAAACUCCUACGGGAGGCAGCAGUGGGGAAUAUUGCACAAUGGGGGAAACCGUGAUGCAGCGACGCCGCGUGAGCGAAGAAGUUUUUCGGUAUGUAAAGUUCUAUCAGCAGGGAAGAAAAUGACGGUACCUGAGUAGGAAGCACCGGCUAAAUACGUGCCAGCAGCCGCGGUAAUACGUAGGGUGCAAGCGUUAUCCGGAUAUUACUGGGUGUAAAGGGAGCGCAGGCGGAGUGGCAAAGUUCUGAUGUGAAAACCUAGGGCUCAACCCCAUGGAUUGCAUUGGAAACUGUCAAUCUGGAGUGCCGUAGAGGUAAGCGGAAUUCCUAGUGUAGCGGUGAAAUGCGUAGAUAUUAGGAGGAACACCAGUGGCGAAGGCGGCUUACUGGGCGGUAACUGACGUUGAGGCUCGAAAGCGUGGGUAGCAAACAGGAUUAGAUACCCUGGUAGUCCACGCCGUAAAC
rnacentral:rRNA from 1 species